CAAGCACUGAGAUAUUGUGGGAGAAGCUGUGGUUGAUAUGACACAAACUAGUUUCUAUACUGUUCACUAUUCGAGAGGUGCGCUGUGAGGAUCUUCUUGAAUUAACCCCUCUGACGAUUGGUCAGACAGUUAUGGCACCUUUGAGAGAUUUGAUGUCCAUCAUGACGGAAUUCCCCGAGUACUCUCUUGUUUGUGUAUCUCCUGGCAAUCGAAUUACUGGUUUCAUCUCUGCAUAUAAUACAGGAGAAGGUGCGGAAAGGCAUUGCGCUAUAAAUGAGAUACAUUACCUGAGAGCAGAAAUGUUUCUGAUGUUAAUGAAAGCAAUUGAGGAGAGGGCUGAGGAGCAUAAGGUAUUUUAUGUGGAAGUAGAUUUGCUCUCAGGACUACGAUGAAGUGUUCUUUGAAAUGGAGUAUACUCGCCAUAGGGAAUAUUUUGAUGUCAUUGGGGGAGAGCUAGUAAAUAAGAGUAUACUCAGGAAAAAUUUGUCAGGUGGAGACUUGCAUCUCUAAACAAAGUUACAGCAGAAGUAUGACAAGUCUGGUGCAGCAGAAGCUACAACAAUCUGUGGCAUCUAAAACUGGAUUCUCGGUGCCUUCUUCUACUAGUCUUUCAAAUGGGAUUUGUGUCAAUAAUACGCAUAAACUUUAAAUAGCGACAGUGGUAUACAAUAAACAUGAUAAAUAGUACGUCAAGGUGAAAGCUGAGUCUUCCAUUGUACGGAUUCAUCCUGUAAUUCACUUGUAGAGUUGUUUCAGAAGAUGCGGUGUUAAGUAGUCUUCCAUAUCUAGAGGAACUGCUGGUUUUAAGUGAAUCUAUCGCUGUCUUCAUCUUGUGCUGGUGAUUAUACAUUUGUUGAGGAAGAACUUAGAAGUAAUGCCUGAUAAAACUCAGCGGUGGAAUUCAAGCCUAAUAAAUCUCGGUUGUUACUACGUGCAUUUUUUCUGUGAAAUACUCGUCAUGUAUCAGUAUGUUUAUAUCUUUCUGCAACAUGUCUCAUCAUACCUAUUCUUGUAAGUAAUUUUUGUUUUCAACUGGAAUCCACUUUCCAAUCUUGGAUCAUGUUCAGACUCUUUGGUGGU